GACGAACGCUGGCGGCGUGCCUAAUGCAUGCAAGUCGAGCGGAAGUUGAAGAGCUUGCUCUUCAACUUUAGCGGCGGACGGGUGAGUAACACGUGGGCAACCUGCCCUGCAGAUCGGGAUAACUCCGGGAAACCGGUGCUAAUACCGAAUAGUUUUCGCCACCUCCUGGUGGCGUACGGAAAGACGGUUUCGGCUGUCACUGCAGGAUGGGCCCGCGGCGCAUUAGCUAGUUGGUGGGGUAACGGCCCACCAAGGCAACGAUGCGUAGCCGACCUGAGAGGGUGGUCGGCCACACUGGGACUGAGACACGGCCCAGACUCCUACGGGAGGCAGCAGUAGGGAAUCUUCCGCAAUGGACGAAAGUCUGACGGAGCAACGCCGCGUGAGUGACGAAGGUUUUCGGAUCGUAAAACUCUGUUGUGAGGGAAGAACAAGUACCACUUAACUACUGGUACCUUGACGGUACCUCACCAGAAAGCCACGGCUAACUACGUGCCAGCAGCCGCGGUAAGAC
rnacentral:rRNA from 1 species